rnacentral:rRNA from 1 species
CCUACGGGAUGCAGCAGUAGGGAAUCUUCCACAAUGGGCGCAAGCCUGAUGGAGCAACGCCGCGUGUGUGAUGAAGGCUUUCGGGUCGUAAAGCACUGUUGUAUGGGAAGAACGGGUUUAAGAGGAAAUGCUUAGACAGUGACGGUACCAUACCAGAAAGGGACGGCUAAAUACGUGCCAGCAGCCGCGGUAAUACGUAUGUCCCGAGCGUUAUCCGGAUUUAUUGGGCGUAAAGCGAGCGCAGACGGUUGCUUAAGUCUGAAGUGAAAGCCCACAGCUCAACUGUGGAAUGGCUUUGGAAACUGGGCAACUUGAGUGCAGUAGAGGUAAGUGGAACUCCAUGUGUAGCGGUGGAAUGCGUAGAUAUAUGGAAGAACACCAGUGGCGAAGGCGGCUUACUGGACUGCAACUGACGUUGAGGCUCGAAAGUGUGGGUAGCAAACAGGAUUAGAUACCCGCGUAGUC